rnacentral:lncRNA from 7 species
AUGCCAAGGAGGAGUCUGUCCUUAAGGACCCUUAAUGCCUCGCAUGUCCUAGAGUUUGUCCUCCAAAAAGGGAGAAGCAUUUGUGCCCAAGUUAAGCAGGAAUUGUCAUCAGUGCAGAAGUGGUCAUCUGGGGGACAGUGGAGGAGCUUCUUUCCUAGCAGGGAGUGCCAUGUUUCUUUGCUUUUGCUCCAGCUGAGGGAGGUCUCUAGCCAGUGCCAUCGUGCUGAAUGAAGAGCAGCAAACUCUAGCUGUGCUUCCUCUGGAAGUGACUGGAGAAGUUCUGGUAGGAGGAAGGCCAGGCUCCGAAUCCUACCAAAUAUCUGUCCGGGAUAUGAAGCUGUUUUUCCCAGAAGGUCUGUGCUGCGCCGAGUGCCAGACACUGGAGGAAGAAGAGAUCGGCCAGUGCUCAGUAACCUCAGCCAAACCACUUGCCUCAUCCUGCCCGCGAUAAUCCUCAGGGGUUCGGACCCACCUUAUGUUGAACUGCUUGAUCAGCUUAUUGGCCAAGGUUUCACGGUGACUGGAGUACGCCUCACUGUGCUGGAUGCACCACAAGCUCAUUGCAUCUCCGAGAUACUGAGCAGGGCCAAAUGUGGUGUGGCAGCAAAGGUACGAAGUCUGGAUUUGCACUUUGCUUCUUUCCCCAUGGAAGAAGAGUCAUUUGAUGCAGUGCUGUGCUAGCUCUGAGCAGACCAGCUUUGGUAGCAGUGUUAGCACCGCACUGCUAUCUGAUCUCUUAUGCACUAGUAAGUAAUUUGGGCAGUGUGCCUUGCCAGCUUCUCCCUGCUUUGUGUUCCUGUAUCUCCAUUAACUCACAGACACCUAAACUUGACAUCAUGAUGUGCAAACAUAACCUUACUGUGAAUGGUACAUCCCCUUCAGACAUUUUCUUCCAUUCACCUCACAGUGCACAGUUGCUGCUGUUAUGUAUGUUCUGCUGUUGUAUCUUGUCUUGUUCUUCCAGAUAAAUACAGUUUCUAUUUCCUUUUCU